CAUUACAACAGCCAUAGUUUAUUGGAUCUUAGAGUCCUACUUGGAUACCUGUGGUAAUUCUAGAGCUAAUACACGCAAUCAAGCCUCAACCUUACGGGCGGGGCGCAUUUAUUAGAACAAAACCAAUUGGCUUCGGCCAUAGAUUGGUGAAUCUGAAUAACUACGCUGAUCGCACGGGCUUGUCCCGGCGACGUAUCCUUCAAGUGUCUGCCUUAUCAACUUUCGAUGGUAGUUUAUAUGACUACCAUGGUUGUAACGGGUAACGGAGAAUAAGGGUUCGACUCCGGAGAGGGAGCCUGAGAAACGGCUACCACAUCCAAGGAAGGCAGCAGGCGCGCAAAUUACCCACUCUCAGAACGAGGAGGUAGUGACGAAAAAUAACGAGACAGUUCUCUAUGAGGUCUGUCAUCGGAAUGGGUACAAUCUAAACCCUUUAACGAGGAUCUAUUGGAGGGCAAGUCUGGUGCCAGCAGCCGCGGUAAUUCCAGCUCCAAUAGCGUAUAUUAAAGUUGUUGCGGUUAAAAAGCUCGUAGUUGGAUCUGCGGUCACAGACGCCGGUUUCCUUCACGGAAUACUGGUUGUCUUGACCUACCUUGCUGGUUUUCCCUUGGUGCUCUUUACUGAGUGCCUUGGGUGGCUAGCACGUUUACUUUGAAAAAAUUAGAGUGCUUAACGCAGGCUUUUGCCUGAAUAGUGGUGCAUGGAAUAAUGGAAUAGGACCUCGGUUCUAUUUUGUUGGUUUUCGGAGCACGAGGUAAUGAUUAAGAGGGACAGACGGGGGCAU
rnacentral:rRNA from 1 species